GUCGGGAUAGCUCAGCCGGUAGAGCAGAGGACUGAAAAUC
rnacentral:tRNA from 24 species